CAGCAGCCGCGGUAAUACGAAGGGGGCUAGCGUUGUUCGGAAUUACUGGGCGUAAAGCGCACGUAGGCGGAUAUUUAAGUCAGGGGUGAAAUCCCGCAGCUCAACUGCGGAACUGCCUUUGAUACUGGGUAUCUUGAGUAUGGAAGAGGUUAGUGGAAUUGCGAGUGUAGAGGUGAAAUUCGUAGAUAUUCGCAGGAACACCAGUGGCGAAGGCGGCUAACUGGUCCAUAACUGACGCUGAGGUGCGAAAGCGUGGGGAGCAAACAGGAUUAGAUACCCCAGUAGUCCCUGUCUCUUAUAC
rnacentral:rRNA from 1 species